rnacentral:tRNA from 1 species
GCAUCCAUGGCUGAAUGGUUAAAGCGCCCAACUCAAAAUUGGUGAAUUCGUAGGUUCAAUUCCUACUGAUGCA